rnacentral:lncRNA from 1 species
AAAGAAUAUGCAGUUGUAAUACCAGAUGCUCUAAUAAUGCAUGUAGUUUUUCUUGGGAACAUUUUUUCCCCUUGAUCUGAACUUUUGGCUUGUUUUCUGAUAUGGAAUCAUCAUCACCUGUGCUACAUUGUAUUCUUGUUGUACUUGCAUUGUUUAAAAUACAUUUUGCAAUUAAUUCUACUGAUUGCACCAUGUUCACAAUUUCAACCACAAACUACCAUCUAAAUUACUGGGGAUAACGGAUAUAAACAAAAC